rnacentral:rRNA from 1 species
CCCUUAGAUGUUCUGGGCAGCACGCGCGCUACAAUGGUCUUCGCAAACGGAUGCAUUCUCGAAGGAGAAUGCCAAUCUUGGAAUCUAUGCCUUGGUCGGGACAGUUGCUUGCAAUUUUUCGACUCGAACCAGGAAUUCCUUGUAAUCGUGAUUCAUCACAUCACGAUGAAUACGUCCCUGCCCUUUGUACAAACCGCCCGUCGCUCCUACCGAUCGAAGAGUUAGGUGAAUUGUUUUGAUCGAUAAGAUUUGACUAUGGUCAACUCUCGUUGUGAAAUUCUGUGAAUCUGACUGUUUAGAGGAAGGUGAAGUCGUAACA